ensembl:lncRNA
CUGGGCAUUAAAUACAGUGGUACCAGAGGGGAAAGCCUGGGCAUUAAAUACAGUGGUACCAGACAGCCGCCUAAGAUGUUCCAGAACCAGAGGGGAAAGUCUGGGCAUUAAAUACAGUGGUACCGGACAGCCGCCUAAGAUGUUCCAGAACCAGAGGAGAAAGCCUGGGCAUUAAAUACAGUGGUACCAGACAGCCGCCUAAGAUGUUCCAGAACCAGAGGGGAAAGCCUGGGCAUUAAAUACAGUGGUACCGGACAGCCGCCUAAGUUUGAAUCGCUAACAAGUAUUUUCUAAAGAAAGAAGGAAAUAUAUAUAUAUAUAUAAUAUAUAUAUAUAUAUUAGGCUGAAUACUGUGCUUUGUAAUCUUGAAGGGGCAUAACUAUUUUCACUGUGAGGUUUUUAUACUUUAAACUGCUUUUUUGCCUAACUUAACUGCUUUAAAGCAUGUCUGAUUGUGGUAUCCUGUUUUCGAUUCUGUUUGUUUUAACGUUGAGUAUUUUUUUAUCACCUCUGUAUUCAUAAUUUGUAUUAACCUUAUGGUUGUUGUUAUUAUGAUGAAUUAUUACGCUUAUUAUGAUGAUUCCAUUCCAACGAUAAGGAUCAAAGGGCAGAACGCUUUCUUGUAAAAUGCCAGACGUAAAAGCUCAAGCUCAAUGGUACCAACUGAUCAACUGCAGCCAACUACAGUAUUUCAAACACUGGCCCUAGAUUUGAUCACACAUACUCAUUAGAUGUCGCUUUUCCACAGAUAUACAGAUUGUACACUGUACCUUUUCAUUGAGCAAACACUACUGCAGGACUAAGCUCAGUCAGGUUAUGCACUGAUCCCAUCCCUAUCAGAUUUCAGGGCCCUCCUCAGAGAGACAGAACACAAUCAGCAGUGUGAGCAGUAUUAGAACUGUCUUAAUUGAACAAGCCACUGGAGAAUACAGUGGGAAGAGGAACUGAGUUUCACAGAGGCAGAGAAAUCGAGGGAAGGAUAGACAGCCUGUGAAAGCUAAUGGAAAUAAUUUACUGACCUUAGCAUUGACUCAACACUGACUUUAUUUUGAUAAUUUUGACUUUCCCAUAACAUCAUAACACACUUGACUAUGGACACUAAAAGGUGAUAAUGUUCGUCCCAAAGCAAGCUAAUAGCCUCAUGUUAUUGGCCCCUUCCCGUGUAGUGAUGUUUGGCCUUGAGCGUGUGGGACCGCCGUGGAAAAGUAAAGGUCUUGGGGUCAAUAAAUGACUGAGGUUGUGCCCAAUCGAGAGUGAUUAACAUAGAAAUAGAAUACAUAGAAUGGACGUGGUUAGUAAGAUGAUGCACGUUCUAUUCUAUUUCUAUGGGCUGUCUUGUCUUUGGGUUGGGUGGCUGUUAAUUGUUGACUCUUGGGAUGUUUUUAGUGCACAGAUGAGGGGAGGAGGGUCGUCCCAGAACUACUGAAAGUGUGUUUUGCUCAAGCCUGAUGAAUCCGGCCCCCUUCUUUUUGUUUUCUACCCGUGUUGAAGGAGUUCAGAAGGCACCGUUUUUCCUGAAGUGAAGGACAAAAAGAGUUUAGGACUAUGACAGACAAAAUAACAUUUCCCCUUGAAGAUUUUUUAAAAAUAAAAACAAUGGCUGUUUUAUGUUGUGUUGAUUGCUGUUAAUGUGUGCGGCUUUCUUUACCUGUUGUAAAAACUAGGAUUACCAUUGGCUGAUUGUCAUUGAGCAGAUGCUGACCAAUGAAAUUAUUAGGUGAGAGCAAGCAGUCCCAGAUACCCGAUACAUUUCAUACAUGAGAGGAUUCAUAUCUUUGUCUCUCCCUGCACUAUCAUGAAGGAGUUACAGUGCUCAAUGUACAGACAGACGCCAGGUAGUUACAGCCACAUCCUCUGAAUUGUUCAAGCCCGCCAUUGAGACUGGUGUGUGUGCUCAGUGCUGACUGACUCACUCAAUGACCCUGUAAUCAGAAACAGCAUUGUUUCUCAGGUAGAGUGCCUCUCUCACAGAUCAUUACAUUUACAUAGAAACUCCAGGAGUUUACACACGCAUAUUGGGAAGGGACAAGCAAGUUAAAGAAAACUGCAUACAGUACACGAGCACAGGGAAGGAGCCUACAAGAUGAGGGAGGAGUUAGGGUGGGGAUGGGGUAAAUGUGAUGGAUAACUGGUUAUGCUGCCAAAAGUGUACUGACAGAAAGCAAGUGAUAUCUGGAUAUUCCUUUGACCUCAUAUAUUAUUAAUGAUACUGUAAUGUUAGCUUAUUUAGAAAAACGUUAAAGAUAAGUAAAUGUUUUCCUCGUGUUAUCAUUUUAUUGAUUCAGUUAAUGUACUGAAAGUAUGCAAAAUACAAGCUUUACUAAAUAUACAAACAUGCCGUAUCAAAUAUUUGGCUAGACACUUUUCAGUCAUAAUAUCGUAACUGAUUGAAGAUAGUCAGUUACUAUCCCCAAGGUCGAAUGAAUGACCUUACUGAGUAACAAUAACUAAUUACUGAAACAAUA